CCCUAGUAGCGGCGAGCGAAGCGGGAAGAGCUCAAAUUUAUAAUCUGGCACCUUCGGUGUCCGAGUUGUAAUCUCUAGAAAUGUUUUCCGCGUUGGACCGCACACAAGUCUGUUGGAAUACAGCGGCAUAGUGGUGAGACCCCCGUAUAUGGUGCGGACGCCCAGCGCUUUGUGAUACAUUUUCGAAGAGUCGAGUUGUUUGGGAAUGCAGCUCAAAUUGGGUGGUAAAUUCCAUCUAAAGCUAAAUAUUGGCGAGAGACCGAUAGCGAACAAGUACCGUGAGGGAAAGAUGAAAAGCACUUUGGAAAGAGAGUUAACAGUACGUGAAAUUGUUGGAAGGGAAACGCUUGAAGUCAGACUUGCUUGCCGAGCAAUCGGUUUGCAGGCCAGCAUCAGUUUUCCGGGAUGGAUAAUGGUAGAGAGAAGGUAGCAGUUUCGGCUGUGUUAUAGCUCUCUGCUGGAUACAUCUUGGGGGACUGAGGAACGCAGUGUGCCUUUGGCGGGGGUUUCGACCUCUUCACACUUAGGAUGCUGGUGGAAUGGCUUUAAACGGUCCGUCUUGAAA
rnacentral:rRNA from 1 species